rnacentral:ncRNA from 2 species
UGACAGGACUCUGGAGAGACCCAAAUGAUGGGCGCCGAAGGGGCAACGCAAUGACGCUUUGCUAAUCUCUCAGGCAAAAGGACAGAGUAUUUUUU